CCGCUGUCCUUUUUAAAGUGACGGAUGGCUUCCUUCGAUGUAUGCUCUCUUCGCCGCCUCUGCCCGCCGCCGCCCUCGGUCUUCUUCUCCGGCCGUCCGCCGCCGCCCGCCGGUCUUCUUCUCCAGCCGUCCGCCGUCCGUCCUCCUUCCCCUCCACAUCUGCCCCUAAUCUUCUUCGGCGCCACCCACAGCCUCAUCAAUCUCCAACCUCUUGUUCCCGUGCUUCUCUGAUUUGGAUCGAGAUGGGAGUCCUGGAUCGAGUUAGGGUCUGUGUUCUUCUCCAACACAAAGCCAUGGAGUGACCGACCCGGAUUUGACUUGGCUAUCAUAAGAAGGAAGGGUCCUCGACCGGAAUCUGCCCCAGGCAGGACCUCAAUGGCGACCUGCAGGCCCGGCCUCUGUCUCUUUCGACUCCCUCUUUUUGCGACCUCAAGAAGCUGCGGCGGCUCAUCCUCGAGGCCAAGCUCGUGCAAUUCCGACGACUCCAGGCCCAAUUUAUUUCCUGCUCUAUCGGGUCCAAGUGAUGCGCCAAGGGGAUUUGCAACAGCUUUCAGGAUUGUUCAGUUGCAUGCUAAGAAAAAAAAUAGGUCUGAGGGGAACCACUUCUUUGGCGUGUUGCUCCAGUAGUUCAUGAUGAUGAGGUCCGACUCCAUAAUAUACUAGCAUUUUAUUUAAAUGCCAAUGGGUGCACCAACAUUUAAGCAAGCAGUUUUUAUGCAUUUUCGUUUUUAGCACAUAGUUUUUGAGGAAAUUGUUCUGACUGUGCAAUUUGAUAGAGUCCAUGCCAGCGCAACUCUUGCAAUUCUCUGAACUCUUUCUGAAUUAUACUGCAAGAUUCGGUUAUAGUGUGGCCUUCAAAUCAGAGCUACAAUAUUGCCUUUGUAGCUGCAUGGUGGGUAUCAGUUUUUGUUAUCACUGAUCUUCCCAAACUGAAGCUUAGAGAGAUCAAAAUGUUACAUGCUGUAGGGCCAGGAGUGAACUAAACUCGUCCGACAGUGUUCUACGGUUCGCCGCAACUUCGUAGGCCGGUUUUCCACUUGAUGUAUGUAGACAAGGAGGAUUGAAUUCAUGGGCUGAAGGUUUUACUCGAAGUCGUGUUAUAUUGGAGUUAGCGCCUAAAAAAAUGACAGUGUAUCUCCUGGGGGAGGAGGUGGGAGAGAUGUAGCAGGUAGAAGAUGGACCGUGGAUAAGAAAGAGGAAGGGAUAAAGUGUCAAUCAGCAAUGAAAACUUUAGUAUUUGUGAUGUAAAUUUGAAUGCUAAAGUUUGAAUUUUUUUCCUUGGUCUUAAUUUCUUUCUUUCAAAUGCAAGUGGAUUAAUCUGCAUAAAAUUUAAUACUAUGUUGUAUUCAGCUUUAUUUAGAUUUACCUUCCACUCAUAGGUUGGAGUCUAGAGUUUAUGCAUACCGUUGCAUGAGCAUUGUUGCAUCAUGGUCAAUUCUCUUGGACAGAUAGCUGAGGCCAUUGCAUAAUUUCAGAGGUACUUAUAAAUAUAAAAUGGCUUUCUUUAGCAAAAAUUCCAAAGUUAUGAUGUUUAUUUUGAUAACCUCGACAAUGUCAAGUACAUAGAAUUGGAAUGGAGCCGAGCAACCCUGGUUCAUUGUAACUGAUGUUUGCUUCACAUCGAAUCAUUGAAGGAGUAUGAUGCUGCUUUGGAAGGAGGCUUUUCUCAAUCUGUGCUGCUUUCGGGGCGAGGCUGGGCCACGUCCACACUAUUGUCGCUCGCCUGCCUGGGCCUGGGACGUGUUAUUGAAGCCUUCACCAUGCUACAGAGGACAGUCCUGAAGCUCAGUGUUAGAAGACAAGUUGGCUUCGUAUAUUGGUGAAAUCUCAACCCAUGUUCUUCAGUUGGCUUCAUAUAUUGGAUGUUGACGCUUCGCUUGCUUCUGAUAAGAAUGCUUGGAAAGAUGUGAUGAAAAAUGGAAAACUUCUGUAGUUUUACAAGACAAGUAAGCGCCUAUGACUUGCAGUCAUCUCCUUUCCUAUCCAGCACAACGCAAGUGCGCAUGACAGCUAACACAGCAAACACCCACCAAGCAAGCACACGUACGCAGCAGUAGCAUGUAGCAAGCUAUCACACACGCGCCCGACACAACAGCCGACUCGGCAAAAGCACCCUGCUGGACUGGACGACCACGGCGUGCGUGGGCUGAGGCCUCGCCGAAGGAGGGCGCUUGCGGUGUCUGCAUGUUCGGCCUUGCUGCACUCCAGAAUAGUCACAUCACGGCGCGCUGCAGUAGGGCAACGAUUCUGUAAGAGGUAAAUAGGGGUUUGGGGCGCUAUUGUCCAAGAUUGUGCUACCAAGGAUUGUGGAUCUUAACUAAUUAGACUAUUCAUUUGUAAUCUUAAUCUAUAAAAAGAAAGUAAGGUUGUAUUGUAUUUAGCACUCUUGUGAUAAGAAUGCUUUUUUGUUGUUGUUCUUAUUAAAACAUUGGCGUGCAGCAGCCAUAGAUAAUGUGAUUACUAUAUGCUUUAGUUCAAAA